rnacentral:tRNA from 1 species
CCGACCUUAGCUCAGUUGGUAGAGCGGAAGACUGUAGUAGUUCUUGCAGAAAAUCUUUAGGUCGCUGGUUCGAAUCCGGCAGGUCGGA